rnacentral:rRNA from 1 species
UCCUACGGGAGGCAGCAGUGGGGAAUUGUUCGCAAUGGGCGCAAGCCUGACGACGCAACGCCGCGUGGAGGAUGAAGGUCUUCGGAUUGUAAACUCCUGUCGAACGGGACGAACACCUUUCGGGUUAUUACUCCGAGAGGCUGACGGUAGCGUGAGAGGAAGGCCCGGCUAACUCUGUGCCAGCAGCCGCGGUAAUA